rnacentral:rRNA from 1 species
UACAGAGGUCCCAAGCGUUGUUCGGAUUCACUGGGCGUAAAGGGUGCGUAGGUGGUUGGGUAAGUCUGAUGUGAAAUCUCCGGGCUCAACCCGGAAAUGGCAUUGGAUACUAUUCGGCUAGAGGUUUGGAGGGGGGACUGGAAUUCUCGGUGUAGCAGUGAAAUGCGUAGAUAUCAAGAGGAACACCAGUGGCGAAGGCGAGUCCCUGGACAACACCUGACACUGAGGCACGAAAGCUAGGGGAGCAAACAGG